CAGUUGGGAAAGCAGUGGUUGUCACUGUCCCAAACUUCAGGUUUUUGUUACCCUGCUAUUUUCAUAGCUAAUUCUGAGGCGUCUGUGAGUUCUUGGUGCUUCCAAAGUGGUGUGACUGGGGAAGAGACAUGAUCACUGCACUCUCGGUCUGCUCUCUGGUCCUUACUCAAGGAGAAGCCUUACUCCCUUGCAACGGCAACUGCUAGUGCUCCUCUUCACCCUGGAGCUACAACGAGGAACUGGGGUCAUUGGAGUCCAGGAGCAAGAUAUAAGUCAAGACCGACUGGCUGUGGCUCCCAGUUCAAGAUAUGUCUAGCUGACCCAGAGGCUAAAGGUAGUGAAGACAGCAGCUACCCACCAAAAAGACAAAUUCAGGCAGUCCGGUGGAUUGACCCACCCAACAGAGAAACCAUUCCCUAAAAAGAACCCAGCAGCUGAAUGACGUGCUUGGGCCAAUCUAGCAGCAAUCCAAUGGCCACUGAAGAACCAGCUCCAUAGUGAAGUGACCUACUUGACCCAACUUGGCAGCGAAUUAGACUGUCCAUCGGAGAUCUCAGGCCCUGCAAGGAGUCAGUCCACCUGAGCAGUGGAAAAAAUCACCUACCACCAAUGCUACCUCCCAUGGCGAACUUUGUGAAGAACUUCCAGAGGAGAAAAGACAUCAAGAGUCACAGUUCCAAAGUUGCAAGUUGCCUUGGCUCCUGCUUAGGCUCC